rnacentral:SRP_RNA from 1 species
GCCAGGCGUGGUGGCGGGCGCCUGUAAUCCCAGCUACCCAGGAGGCUGAGGCAGGAGAAUCGCUUGAACCCGGGAAACGGAGGUUGCAGUGAGCCAAGACUGAGCCACUGCACUCCAGCCUGGGCAACAGAGCGAGACUCCGUCUCAA